rfam:Bacillus sp. FJAT-21945 super3, whole genome shotgun sequence.
CAGAAGCUGCGUUGUUCGCUUGCAUAUGAAGUUUCAACCUUUAUUUAGAAUGAGGGAGUUCAAUAUCAUUGCUGGAACAUCAUGCCUCCAUUUGAUGAGGACGAAUGAGAAAGCAAUUGCGGACACCCACCUGUUGGAGCAGGUAUGAAACUCCGUAUAAAUCGGCGGCAAAGGCGGCUAUACA